UACGAAGGGGGCUAGCGUUGCUCGGAAUCACUGGGCGUAAAGGGUGCGUAGGCGGGUCUUUAAGUCAGGGGUGAAAUCCUGGAGCUCAACUCCAGAACUGCCUUUGAUACUGAAGAUCUUGAGUUCGGGAGAGGUGAGUGGAACUCCGAGUGUAGAGGUGAAAUUCGUAGAUAUUCGGAAGAACACCAGUGGCGAAGGCGACUUACUGGACACAUAUUGACGCUGAGGUGCGAAAGCGUGGGGAGCAAACAGG
rnacentral:rRNA from 1 species